rnacentral:piRNA from 1 species
CCCAGGUAUUGUGAGUGAGUGCAGGAAUAGA